GCAAAUUCGCGUAUUUGGUCUCAAUAGCAACGAUUUUCCUUAGUUUGACAAAUAUUACUAUUUUUUUCAAUUCCCCAUUUGGUGCCUCAAUCCGCACCUUGUUUUUCGUGCGUUUCCGUAAAGGACGCGGACACAUACGAAGAUAACGGUAGGUUUGCGUUUUUUGGUUGCGGAAGAAAUUGGAUUUACAAAUGGAAUUAUAAAUGUUUUAAGGAAAUUUACAGCUAGUUUCGAGUUUCUCGAGUAAGAACUUGGAUUGUAGUAAAGGAGAACUGAAGUAAAACUUGCUUAUCCGUUUAAUCUUCUAUCUAAGCUGUUCAGCCUCGGGUCGCGUGUACUUUUAGCCUGAACACGGAAGUAGAGUGAAUAUGUCAUGAUGUGCCAAAGAAGUACCAGUACUCACAGUAUCUCUUUGGAUGUUCAUAUAAAGUGGAAAUCUAGGAAAAAUCAAAUGUUAGAUGUCAGGUCAUCUAAGUGCAAUCAGAUGAAGUUAUUCAACAUGCUGUGGCCGCAUUGAACUAGAAGUCAUUUCAGGAACAGAAUCCAGGGAUCAUAAGAGAAAUGUAUAUAUAGCCAAUGAUGAUGAUACCUGCUGGCCAAUCACUGCCAAAGAUUAGAAUAACCUAUUCACAUAAAUAUGGCAUCUUUCACACAUAUGGAAUGGAACAUUUUUGCCAAGAUGCUACAUAAACUCUGACACCGAGAAUAUGGCACCUUUCACACAUAUGGAAUGGAAAAUUUUUGCCAAGACGCUACAUAAACUCUGACACCGAGAAUAUGGCACCUUUCACACAUAUGGAAUGGAACAUUUUUGCCAAGAGGCUACAUAAACUCUGACACCGAGAAUAUGGCACCUUUCACACAGUCAUAUGGAAUGGAACAUUUUUGCAAAGACGCAACAUAAACUCUGACACCGAACGUACGUUACGACUAGUAGGACAAUAAUGGUAACAUAAAUUACACCAUGUUAAAAACUCUUGUCUUCGGUAUUACUGCAGCCGGUCAGAUUUUGGAUUUAAUAAAUGUAUUUCAUGAAGUCACUUACAGGACAGUACCUAUUGUCAAAUUAACUGUGUCAUAUGACAUAAGCCCUGCUAAGACAUUACUAACAGUAACACUAAGUCUUGUCAACAAAUAUAUUUAUUGCUUAGACUUUAUGAUUUGAUUUUUGUCGAAAAAUAUGCAUAAUUUCUGCAGCAGAUCCUAGACUAGCGCAAUAUUAUUCUGAGAAAGAACAAAUUCAUAUUUCUGGAUGCAAAGCUAAUUUUCAUUACAUACACAGAGUUAGAUCUAAUCUUAGAAUUAUUCUGGUAGAUGAAAUAAAUAAGUUCUUUAACCAAAGUAAAAUUGAAAAUUUUGAUAUUAAAAGAACGAAACAGUGUUACAAAUGACGUCACGUACCCGAUACGAAAAUUGCAUGCCAGUACUGUAAAACCUGCUUAAGCGGUCACCUCUAAUUAGCAGCCAACCUGUCUUAAGCAGCCCGUGUCUCGAUCAUUUCCCAAAAUGGUCAUUUAUUCUAUAAAUUACCUGCAUUAAGCAGCCACCUGCUGUAAACAGCCACUUUUCCCAACACCCUUGGCUGGCUGUUUAAGACAGGUUUUACUGUAUGGAAAAAUGUUGAUGUAUGUAAUUCGCAUUCGCUCGUGCCAUUUGGAAGAGUAUAAAUAUGAGUAUGUAAUUUAGGUAUUGAUGUUUUCAAGCUUCUGUUUGAUUUGUCGGUUUGUAAUUUCUUUACUUUUCAAAUAUUACACAUCAUUCUAAAAUUCUUGAGUUGAGGUAGUAGGAACUUUUAUUCUGGAAUUCACUUUUAGACUGGUGUAUCCAGUGCCUGGCUUAUUUUCAUGUUGAAUGAUUCUAUACAGAUAUUUAUGUCGGAACAAUGCUGAAUUACCCGACGAUAUUAGUCGACAAGCGUCGACAGCGAUGAAAAUUUCAUCGGAAAUUGCUGCAACUAUUUUGGACCUUCGAGUGUUUGACGCGAGUGGGGAUAUUGCCCAUAUGAAAAAAUUAUCUCAAUAUUUCCUAGGAUGGCGUCAAAUCAGUUGGACUACUGACUAUAUAUAUAUAAUCACAUGGAAAUGGCAGUCAUUCCGUGUGUACUACAUUAUGACACAGUUGUUAAUUAUGAUGAUUAUUGUUGUUUGAACUUGCUGUAAAAUUGGAGCACUUGCACUUUAGCGGUCCCUAUAAUAAUAGUAGUUUAAUAAUGUCUUAAAUAUUAAAAGAGGUAACUUUAUUUUGAGAUGAAUAUGUUUGGGGGCUGCUGCCCCCACAUCCCUGCUUUGCCCCACACCCAACUUGCUGCGCAUGCGCAUUGUAAACUUCCGGGGACCACUAAAGUGCAUUCUACCCGUAAAAUUAAUUAUUCUAACACGAUCCGAUUCAUUUUCCUGUUAAACAAAGAAGACAGAAAACUGAAUUAUUAUACAACAAAUCACUGUUCUGACGUCACAGUUAUUACGUCAUGGCGUCAAACGGCAUAGCGGCACACUAGAAAAGAAACCGAUUGAAAACGGGCAAAUAUUUAAUGAAUGUCGGCAAGAAUCCUUGGUAACAUGUUAGAAUCGAAAUAAUACAUCUCGAUUAGUGAUUUGCUCUUGAAUAAAUCAUUGUUUGUCGUUUCAGAUGCGUAUUAUUAUGUCAUUCAGGCUGCAUCCUCGUGAUAUAAUUCCUUCGCAUCUGAACUCCAAACAAUGAUUUAUUCAACGAGAAAUCACUGGAUGAGAUAUAUUAUUUCUUAAUUAUUUUUUAUUAUAUCGAUUUAUUUCAAAUUUACAACGUUUCACCGAGCACUGGAAUACACCUCGCGGCAAGUGCUGGUUUGACCGCUCUUAGUUGAAUUAAUUUUGUAUUUUAAAUUUGUUUUUUAAGAAAACUCCUGUUAAAUUUUUUUGCUUUUAUAUUCAUUUAAAAAAAAAAUUGUUGUUGUCAAUGUUUUUUAAUCCAGUCUUGAAAUUUGCUCACUGCGGUAGGCUACUGUAUUGUUAUUAUUAGAAAUAAAUUUAUGAAGUGAUA